rnacentral:rRNA from 1 species
AAGCAGGGGAUCGUAAGACCUUGCGCUUUUGGAGCGGCCGAUGUCUGAUUAGCUAGUUGGUGGGGUAAUGGCCUACCAAGGCAUCGAUCAGUAGCUGGUCUGAGAGGACGACCAGCCACACUGGGACUGAGACACGGCCCAGACUCCUACGGGAGGCAGCAGUGGGGAAUUUUGGACAAUGGGCGCAAGCCUGAUCCAGCCAUGCCGCGUGAGUGAAGAAGGCCUUCGGGUUGUAAAGCUCUUUCAGCCGGGAAGAAAAGGUUGCGACUAAUAAUCGCAAUUCAUGACGGUACCGAAAGAAGAAGCACCGGCUAACUACGUGCCAGCAGCCGCGGUAAUACGUAGGGUGCGAGCGUUAAUCGGAAUUACUGGGCGUAAAGGGUGCGCAGGCGGUUUUGUAAGUCAGAUGUGAAAUCCCCGGGCUUAACCUCGGAAUUGCGUUUGAAACUACAAGACUAGAGU